UACGUAGGGAGCAAGCGUUGUCCGGAAUCAUUGGGCGUAAAGCGCGCGUAGGUGGCCUCGUAAGUCCGCUGUGAAAGUCAAAGGCUCAACCUUUGAAAGCCGGUGGAUACUGUGAGGCUAGAGUACGGAAGAGGCGAGUGGAAUUCCUGGUGUAGCGGUGGAAUGCGCAGAUAUCAGGAGGAACACCGGUGGCGAAGGCGGGUCUCUGGGCCGUAACUGACGCUGAGGAGCGAAAGCGUGGGGAGCGAACAGG
rnacentral:rRNA from 1 species